GACGAACGCUGGCGGCGUGCCUAAUACAUGCAAGUAGAACGCUGAAGGAGGAGCUUGCUUCUCUGGAUGAGUUGCGAAUGGGUGAGUAACGCGUAGGUAACCUGCCUGGUAGCGGGGGAUAACUAUUGGAAACGAUAGCUAAUACCGCAUAAUAGCAGUUGUUGCAUGACAACUGUUUGAAAGGUGCAAUUGCACCACUACCAGAUGGACCUGCGUUGUAUUAGCUAGUUGGUGGGGUAACGGCUCACCAAGGCGACGAUACAUAGCCGACCUGAGAGGGUGAUCGGCCACACUGGGACUGAGACACGGCCCAGACUCCUACGGGAGGCAGCAGUAGGGAAUCUUCGGCAAUGGACGGAAGUCUGACCGAGCAACGCCGCGUGAGUGAAGAAGGUUUUCGGAUCGUAAAGCUCUGUUGUAAGAGAAGAACGAGUGUGAGAGUGGAAAGUUCACACUGUGACGGUAUCUUACCAGAAAGGGACGGCUAACUACGUG
rnacentral:rRNA from 1 species